rfam:Rattus norvegicus chromosome 12, whole genome shotgun sequence.
GGGGAUUUAGCUCAGUGGUAGAGCGCUUGCCUAGCAAGCACAAGGCCCUGGGUUCGGUCCCCAGCCCCG